rnacentral:rRNA from 1 species
AAGCGUGAAGCCCCCCUCAAGAUGAGAUAUCUCAAACGCAAGGAGUAAGACCCCUUCGAGACUAGGAGGUAGAUAGGGCAGGAGUGUAAGUACAGCAAUGUAUUCAGCAGACUGUCACUAAUAGGUCGAGGGUUUAACCUC